rnacentral:lncRNA from 1 species
UCAUGAGGUUACUGAUAGUUCUGGCAAAAUUGAGCUGAUAUUUUCAUUCUUGACCUCUUAUUUGCCUUUAGUUUUAUCUUUCCUUACUACUUUUCUGCCUUUAGUCUCAUAUAAUACCUGUCCUUUAAUGUAAACAGUAGAUAACAUGAGAGAGAAUAAAAAGGAAUACUGCUACUCAGGAGGUAGAGGCAGACAGAGCUCUGAGUUAGAAGCCACCUGGUCUACAGAGUUCCCAGGACAGCCAAGGAUACAAAGAGAAAACUGUCUCAAAAAAAAUAGAUACUUAAAAAAAUAAUCUUCAUUUUAAAAAACUUGAAUGCUUUCUAUUUCUUCAUUGGAUAUCUAUGAAUGUUUAUGUUUUCUCUUUGUUAAUUUUGCUUCAUUUGCUUCAGAGAACUGUGUUUGACAGUAAUGAAGUCUUUUUUUUUUUUUUUUUUUUUUGAUCCUACUUCAUUUUAGGAAAAACACAUUUAUAAGGGCAAUGCUACUGUGCAGCCUCACAAAGCCAUGUAUAAAGAGAGGCAGAAGUGGAAAUAGGUUCAGGGAAGGUACGCAUUAGUUUUUGUUCAUAGGCUGGUGUGUCUUGUGACGUAGAUAUGGGUGAACUGGCACAGUCAUUCCCUGUGUUUUAGGAGGGUUUCCUCACUUCCUGUGCUCACCUUGAACUGCUUGUUACAGCUGCUUUGAAGUCUUUUGGUUGCUGACACUGGUAAUUCCUUCACACUAUCUCCCCUCCUACAGAAUGACUCUGUGUAAAGUCAACAUGACCCUUGCCAGGUUGGUCCUUUAUUUACCACCAUCUGCUAGGCCUGUUCUGCUUCCUUCUUCUUUUUCUUCUACACACAGACGACUAGUCAUCUAAAUAUGAUCUCAUUCCUCCAGAGCAAUUGACCAGUGUCAAUGGAAUGGCGUUUGCAAAACUGUAUAGGAAAGCAGGUAAGACGGAAUAGGAAGUCCCGCGCUGUGACUGCCAUGUCACUGUUCAGAGUGAGCUUGAGGUGAGCUGUGCUGGGUCUUGACCUCAGUGUGUGGCUAUAAAAGCAUUAACUGAGCUGCUCAGCUUGUUUUGUGUGUUUUUACUACAUUCAAGUUACAUCUCAAUUAACCUAUAAAAUACCUUGUCUUAUUGUAGACAUUUUUCCAACUAAUUAAUUUAUGCUUCUAACAUUUUCUUUUAAAAGAAACUGUCUCCUUUUAAGUAUGUUAGAAAAAUUGCUGUUUUUAUGUUUGAAGAAUUCUUGAUGUAUUUCAAAUAUUAAAACAAAAGGCAGGACAAUUUUUUUUUUUUACAUAUUCACUUUAUAUCCUGCUCACCGCCUCCCUCCUGGCUAUUCCAUCCUACAAUCCUUCAUGCCCCCAUCCCCCCUCUCCUCCUCUGAGCAGGUAGGGGCUCCCUGGGUAUCCCCCCACCUUGGGGGUUACAUCAUGUUUGCAGAGCUAGGCAAUCCUUUCCCAUUGAGGCCAGACUAGGCAACCCAGCUAGAAGAAUAUAUAUCCCUUGGGCAAGCAGCAGCUUUUAGGAUAGCCCCCACUCCAGUAAUUCAGGAUCCACAUGAAGACCAAGCUGCACAUCUGCUACAUGUGUGCAGGCAGGCCCAGGCCCAGCCCAUGAGUGCUCAUUGAUUAGAGGUUCAGAUUCAGAGAGCCCCAAGGAUCCAGGUUAGGUGACUCUGUUGGUCCUCCUAUGGAAUUCCUAUCCCCUUUGGAACUCUCAGUCAUUCCUCCAUAAGAGUCCCCAAGCUGCAUCCACUGAUUUGCUGUAGGUGUCUGCAUCUGUCUGAGUCAGCUGCUGGGUGGAGCCUUUCAGAGGUCAGCCAUGCUAGGCUCCUGACUGCACGCAUAAUAGAGCAUCAUUAAUAGUGUCAGAGAUUGGUGCUUACCCAUGGGAUGGGUCUCAAGUUGGACCAGUUAUUGGUUGGCCAUUCCCUCAGUCUCUGUUCCAUCCCCCAUUCCAGGCAGGUCAACUUUAAACCAUAUACUAGAGCAUAAAAUUAGUUUAGGCAGCACAACACUGCCCAGUAUGCCAACGCACUUCAGACACAUGAAAAUAUAAGUCAACAAAAGGGCCAUAAUUAAUAUAUAUUUAACUUACUGAUAUUUUUAUACAAAGAAAUUAACUUAAAAUGGACAUCAACACGUUUAUCACAUGUGACCAUUGUAUAGUUAAUCUGUCCUCAUUUUCAUUUUACAUUAUUUUUCUUUUUUCAGUUAUAUUUAGUGUCCAUAAUAAAGCUUUAAGUUUUGCUUUAUUUACAAACAUGAAGAAAAUUAAUACUCAAUUUUGGGCAUAAUAUUUAAAUUUACUACCAUCUCCUCUAAAUAGCUCAACAUAUAUUUUGUAUUUUAUAAUAUAUGUUCUUCUUAAUGUAAAACUAUCAGAUCAAUUCGGGUUUUAUUUAGUUUAGUUUUUUUUUCUUUUAAUCUGCUGCUUCACAUUUUAUCUAUGGUUCAUUAAGUUGCUGACAAAUUCACUGUUAAACCCUCUUGGUUGAUGCUUAUGGCAUUUCCACUUAUACAGUCAUCUGAUAGGCUGCCUGGUCCUACCAAAUAUAUGUACCUGGAUGCUGUGUUAGUCUUGGGCAGUAUAAGAACUGAAUCAGCUGGGUGGGGUGGUGUGCUUUUUUCAUCUCUGUACUUAUAAGGCAGAAGCAGGUGGAUUUCUGUGAGUAUGAAGACAGCCUAGUCAACACACUGAGACCUUGUCUCAAAAACAAACACAAAACUAAAGAACACAAGGAGGUGAAUCAAAUUGAGGAAGACAGUGAAAUACAAUUAGGUGAGCUACUGUAAAAUGUUCAAUCUUGUCUUUUCAGAAGGCCUUUAAACUGUGCUGUGAAAUACUGUGCUACCAUUGAGGGAAUGUUAUUGAGCCGCAUAUACAUAUUUGUGAGGUAACUCUUCUUAACUGCCUUCUUAAAGUCAAAACAGUGGGUUCUCUUCACUAAGAUAUGCUCAUUAAACUUCUUCCAAAUAUG